rnacentral:rRNA from 1 species
AUUGAACGCUGGCGGCAUGCUUUACACAUGCAAGUCGAACGGCAGCACGGGGGCAACCCUGGUGGCGAGUGGCGAACGGGUGAGUAAUAUAUCGGAACGUACCCGGAAAUGGGGGAUAACGUAGCGAAAGUUACGCUAAUACCGCAUAUGCCCUAAGGGGGAAAGCGGGGGAUUCGCAAGAACCUCGCGUUUUCGGAGCGGCCGAUAUCGGAUUAGCUAGUAGGUGAGGUAAAGGCUCACCUAGGCGACGAUCCGUAGCUGGUCUGAGAGGACGACCAGCCACACUGGAACUGAGACACGGUCCAGACUCCUACGGGAGGCAGCAGUGGGGAAUUUUGGACAAUGGGCGCAAGCCUGAUCCAGCAACGCCGCGUGAGUGAAGAAGGCCUCGGUUGUAAGCUCUUUCUAGUUGUAAAGAAAAAGACCGUAGACUAAUAAUACAU